rnacentral:snRNA from 1 species
GGACGUGAGGAUAAUCUGGCUAUGACAUCGGUCACUCCAUUGAUUGCCAGGGUUGAUUUCGCUGAUCUAGCUGGCUAAAUGUGUGUCCUCUUCUUCCUUUACAACUCCAUGUGCACCCCACCUCCCCACCCCCAAGCUCUGGAGAGGAUGGCCUUCUCUGAAAAGAAACAGACCAGUCUUUGGUCAAGGGUAUAUGAAUAGCUGUGCUCUCCUGCUAGAACUUCCAAAUAAGCUCUCAAAUACAAAUUUUUAAAAAAAUGUAGAAUGAAAGUAAAGACAAUGAUGAUGUCAAAUUGGAAAGUUUGAGAAGUGUUUAAAAGGAAGUU